UGCAACACCUUGGUCAUGAACUAGAACAAGAUGAACCCAGAGGUUACAGGCAUUCUCACGUCGGAUCGCCCAUGGCUAACUCUCCUCCUGGUACUUUCACUGGAUCGGUUUCAAGUCUUGUUAUCCUCACUUCAUCUAAUUUUCUUCAAAACACCUGUUCACAACUAAGAAAUUUAUCAUCUCUUGGCAGGGGCAUGGGCUCAAUAUGGUAGUCCAACCGACAACAAUUUGCUGCAUGCAUUCAGCAAUUCACCUACUGGAAACGGGAUGAGCCCCAUCGGGAUGUCCCCUUCAAUGUUG
rnacentral:lncRNA from 1 species